rnacentral:rRNA from 1 species
CUUGCUGCUUUGCUGACGAGUGGCGGACGGGUGAGUAAUGUCUGGGAAANUGCCUGAUGGAGGGGGAUAACUACUGGAAACGGUGGCUAAUACCGCAUAACGUCGCAAGACCAAAGAGGGGGACCUUCGGGCCUCUUGCCAUCAGAUGUGCCCAGAUGGGAUUAGCUUGUUGGUGAGGUAACGGCUCACCAAGGCGACGAUCCCUAGCUGGUCUGAGAGGAUGACCAGCCACACUGGAACUGAGACACGGUCCAGACUCCUACGGGAGGCAGCAGUGGGGAAUAUUGCACAAUGGGCGCAAGCCUGAUGCAGCCAUGCCGCGUGUAUGAAGAAGGCCUUCGGGUUGUAAAGUACUUUCAGCGGGGAGGAAGGUGUUGUGGUUAAUAACCGCAGCAAUUGACGUUACCCGCAGAAGAAGCACCGGCUAACUCCGUGCCAGCAGCCGCGGUAAUACGGAGGGUGCAAGCGUUAAUCGGAAUUACUGGGCGUAAAGCGCACGCAGGCGGUCUGUCAAGUCGGAUGUGAAAUCCCCGGGCUCAACCUGGGAACUGCAUUCGAAACUGGCAGGCUUGAGUCUUGUAGAGGGGGGUAGAAUUCCAGGUGUAGCGGUGAAAUGCGUAGAGAUCUGGAGGAAUACCGGUGGCGAAGGCGGCCCCCUGGACAAAGACUGACGCUCAGGUGCGAAAGCGUGGGGAGCAAACAGGAUUAGAUACCCUGGUAGUCCACGCCGUAAACGAUGUCUACUUGGAGGUUGUGCCCUUGAGGCGUGGCUUCCGGAGCUAACGCGUUAAGUAGACCGCCUGGGGAGUACGGCCGCAAGGUUAAAACUCAAAUGAAUUGACGGGGGCCCGCACAAGCGGUGGAGCAUGUGGUUUAAUUCGAUGCAACGCGAAGAACCUUACCUGGUCUUGACAUCCACAGAACUUUCCAGAGAUGGAUUGGUGCCUUCGGGAACUGUGAGACAGGUGCUGCAUGGCUGUCGUCAGCUCGUGUUGUGAAAUGUUGGGUUAAGUCCCGCAACGAGCGCAACCCUUAUCCUUUGUUGCCAGCNGGUCCGGCCGGGAACUCAAAGGAGACUGCCAGUGAUAAACUGGAGGAAGGUGGGGAUGACGUCAAGUCAUCAUGGNCCCUUACGACCAGGGCUACACACGUGCUACAAUGGCGCAUACAAAGAGAAGCGACCUCGCGAGANUAAGCGGANCUCAUAAAGUGCGUCGUAGUNCCGGAUUGGAGUCUGCAACNCGACUCCNUGNAAGUCGG